AAGUCGUAACAAGGUUUCCGUAGGUGAACCUGCGGAAGGAUCAUUAACACGUAUCCAACGUAAAAACAACCCCGUGAACCUUCAGACGUGCUCUCUUUAGCAAUCCCUGGUAAAUCAUUGUCAAACAGAUUUUGAGUCAGGGACUUCUUGGAUAUGGAGCAUCACGCGUAAGCGGCCUGGCACCCUAGCAAUCUGACAGUGGUUGCGCAAGGGUGGCGCAGUAAACGAUCGCUGGAGGCCCACACGGCCGGCGGACGGGCCCCUGCGCUGUAACAACCGCACCACCAACCGAACAACUGUUAACAAUGGAUAUCUUGGUUCUC
rnacentral:misc_RNA from 1 species